rnacentral:rRNA from 1 species
AAUGAACGUUGGCGGCGUGGAUUAGGCAUGCAAGUCGAGCGAGAACCCGCAAGGGGGACAGCGGCGAACGGGGUAGGAAUACGUAGGUAACGUACCCUCGGGGCGAGGACAGCCACGGGAAACUGUGGGUAAUACUCGAUAAACUUCCCAAUCAUUAUGGAAGGGGAAGCAAUGGGUGUGAUUCCACCUGAGGAGCGGCUUACGCAGUAUCAGCUAGUUGGUGAGGUAACGGCUCACCAAGGCUACGACGCUUAGGGGGUGUGAGAGCAUGGCCCCCCCCCACUGGCACUGAGACACUGGCCAGACACCUACGGGUGGCUGCAGUCGAGAAUCUUCGGCAAUGGACGCAAGUCUGACCGAGCGACGCCGCGUGUGGGAUGAAGGCCUUGGGUGUAACCACUGUCAGAGGGAUGAAGUGUACGAGAGUUAUCUCUUGUAUUUGACAGAGCUCAGAGAAGCACGGGCUAAGUUCGUGCCAGC